GACCGAUAGUGAACCAGUACCGUGAGGGAAAGGCGAAAAGAACCCCGGCGAGGGGAGUGAAAAAGAACCUGAAACCGUGUACGUACAAGCAGUGGGAGCCCCACCACUAAGCCAGUGGUGAACUCCACAUCCGCAUCCUUUGCUGAGGAUACGGUUAACGGAGCGAAAGCGACGUUCAACCGCAAAACAAGCAGAGGGGGCUUAGUGGUGGGGUGACUGCGUACCUUUUGUAUAAUGGGUCAGCGACUUAUAUUCUGUAGCAAGGUUAACCGUAUAGGGGAGCCGGAGGGAAACCGAGUCUUAAUUGGGCGUUAAGUUGCAGGGUAUAGACCCGAAACCCGGUGAUCUAGCCAUGGGCAGGUUGAAGGUUGGGUAACACUAACUGGAGGACCGAACCGACUAAUGUUGAAAAAUUAGCGGAUGACCUGUGGCUGGGGGUGAAAGGCCAAUCAAACCGGGAGAUAGCUGGUUCUCCCCGAAAGCUAUUUAGGUAGCGCCUCGUGAAUUCAUCUCCGGGGGUAGAGCACUGUUUCGGCUAGGGGGCCAUCCCGGCUUACCAACCCGAUGCAAACUGCGAAUACCGGAGAAUGUUAUCACGGGAGACACACGGCGGGUGCUAACGUCCGUCGUGAAGAGGGAAACAACCCAGACCGCCAGCUAAGGUCCCAAAGUCAUGGUUAAGUGGGAAACGAUGUGGGAAGGCCCAGACAGCCAGGAUGUUGGCUUAGAAGCAGCCAUCAUUUAAAGAAAGCGUAAUAGCUCACUGGUCGAGUCGGCCUGCGCGGAAGAUGUAACGGGGCUAAACCAUGCACCGAAGCUGCGGCAGCGAACGUAUCACCCAAGACAACUUUACGGAGUUGACGAUUGACGGAGCGAAGCGACGUCAAAGCGUUCAUUAAAGUCGAGUUGGCUUAGGGAUACGUUCGUUGGGUAGGGGAGCGUUCUGUAAGCCUGUGAAGGUGUGUCGUGAGGCAUGCUGGAGGUAUCAGAAGUGCGAAUGCUGACAUAAGUAACGAUAAAGCGGGUGAAAAGCCCGCUCGCCGGAAGACCAAGGGUUCCUGUCCAACGUUAAU
rnacentral:rRNA from 1 species